GAGAUCGUAGCUCAGUUGGUAGAGCAACGGACUUUUAAUCCGUAGGUCAUGGGUUCGAACCCCAUCGAUCUCA
rnacentral:tRNA from 1 species